AUUGAACGCUGGCGGAAUGCUUUACACAUGCAAGUCGAACGGCAGCACGGACUUCGGUCUGGUGGCGAGUGGCGAACGGGUGAGUAAUAUAUCGGAACGUGCCCAGUCGUGGGGGAUAACGUAGUGAAAAUUACGCUAAUACCGCAUACGAUCUAUGGAUGAAAGCGGGGGAUCGCAAGACCUCGCGCGAUUGGAGCGGCCGAUAUCAGAUUAGGUAGUUGGUGAGGUAAAGGCUCACCAAGCCGACGAUCUGUAGCUGGUCUGAGAGGACGACCAGCCACACUGGAACUGAGACACGGUCCAGACUCCUACGGGAGGCAGCAGUGGGGAAUUUUGGACAAUGGGCGCAAGCCUGAUCCAGCCAUUCCGCGUGCAGGACGAAGGCCUUCGGGUUGUAAACUGCUUUUGUACAGAACGAAAAGCUCUGGGUUAAUACCUCGGGGUCAUGACGGUACUGUAAGAAUAAGCACCGGCUAACUACGUG
rnacentral:rRNA from 1 species